rnacentral:rRNA from 1 species
GGAAUUGACGGGGACCCGCACAAGCGGUGGAUGAUGUGGAUUAAUUCGAUGCAACGCGAAAAACCUUACCUACCCUUGACAUGGAAGGAAUCCCCGAGAGAUUGGGGAGUGCCCGAAAGGGAACCUUUACACAGGUGCUGCAUGGCUGUCGUCAGCUCGUGUCGUGAGAUGUUGGGUUAAGUCCCGCAACGAGCGCAACCCUUGUCAUUAGUUGCUACGAAAGGGCACUCUAAUGAGACUGCCGGUGACAAACCG